UGGAGCUAAACUCUGCAGGACAGAGACUCUCUAGGACUGAACUUGCCUACCUCUGGACUAACACGUUUCAGUGCCAGAAGGAUUGCCUUCAACUCCAAAUAAUUUAUGAGCUCUUUCAGUACUGAUGACCACUCCCCUCUUACAGAGCUUCCAUCGCACAGAGCUACCAGUCAAUAUCAUGAUGCAUCUGUUGUCACCACUAUACAAGACGUAACCCUGUCCAGGAGGAUUCCCUCUGCCAAAAGAUCAGUGUUUCCACAGGGGAUCAGAGCUUGAAUGACGACUGCUAACAUCAAGGUCAUAAGUCCUAGCAGCUGCAGAACUGUAAGGAAACUCAAUUGCCAAGCUGAAAAGGAGUCGAUAGCUGCAAAAAUCUGCUGCCCUCCAUGCUGACAGCACAGCUAUGUUCUGCACUGAAUCUAUCUCUAAAGCAACAUAUGAAAUCAUCUGGCUCAGGUCCAAUGAACAAAUGGGAGAAAAGUGCUUGUGUUUGUUACACUGCUUGUUCCCUGCUGUCUGCUGAACUGCAGAGAAACUUCGUGCACAAACCCCUCAGAGAAAAACCUUGGAAACUUUCUGCGCCUUGUAACACCUGAGGUGCUUGUUAAAUUGACAAAAAACUAGGAUGUAGUAUAAAUAUUGGAUAGGGUGCAAGUCCACAAUUUUCUUUGGGAUGAGGAAGUAAUGGCUGUAAAAUACUACCUCCAUUUUCCCCUGUGGAACCACUUGAAGAGGGAAGCAUAACUGCUUGAAAAAUGUUUUCAGAGAAUUCCUCGCUCCCAUCAAGUGAGACAGAGUCCUCAUGACACUCAACGUCCUGAUCAAAGUCAGGGGCAAAUCAGGUCUUCUUUCAAAAUCAGGUCUACUUUAGGAUCCCAAGUGAUCCAUUUGGCUCAAAUGGCUUUUAAUAGUUGUGAACUAAUGAUGGAGCAGAACUGUUGAAGGAGGUUUUCAAGGCUCUGCAAUGGAGGAGUCACAUAAGCAUGGUAAGCUCCACCCCUGUGCACCUGCGGCCCAUUAAUUUAUGACGCGCUGGGCUGGUUAUAAGAGGAGAGAGUGUGGAUGUGAAGGGGGUGCUGUUGAGUGUCGAACUUGUGCUGCCUCCAUCAUAACUCCAGUCGCCA